GAUUAGGGUUGGAGUGAACCUACAGGACGAUAGCUCUCCUGGAACAGGGUUGGAGUGAACCUACAGGGGGGUAGCUCUCCUGGAACAGGGUUGGAGUGAAUUUACAGGAUGAUACCUCAUUCAGACCUAUAGCCAUAUCUCAUUCAGACCUAUAGCCAUACCUCAUUCAGACCUAUAACCAUACCUGAUUCAGACCUAUAACCAUACCUGAUUCAGACUUAUAGCCAGAUCUCAUUCAGACCUAUAGCCAUACCUCAUUCAGACCUUUAACCAUACCUCAUUCUGACCUAUAGCCAGAUCUCAUAAAAUUGUUUAUCCAUCAAAACAGACCAGACAGGCUCACCUCUGACCUGUGUGUGUGUGCGCGUGUGUGUGUGUGUGUGCGUGCGUGCGCGUGUGUGUGCGAGAGAGGGAACAUUGAUCUCAGAGAUGAUAUUGUAUCUCUAGAUGCAGCUGAUGGAACAGGAGAGCGAGAGAGAGAGGGAGGAAAGGAGGAUGGAACAGCCACACUGUGAGUCAGCACUCUGGGCUUCUCUUUGUGGUUCUGACAUGUUUUGUUCUGUGCACUGCAGAUGAAAGACGACAAGGAGAGUAAGAUACAGUAGUUUAGACCAGGGGUGUCAAACUCAUUCCAUGGAGGGCCUAGUGUGCGGUGGGUUUUCAGGAGGAAGGAUUCUCACACCUGUGUGAGAAUGCUGUUCAUUGACUACAGCUCAGCGUUCAACACCAUAGUGCCCACAAAGCUCAAUGACCCUGGGACGAAACACCUCCCUUUGGAACGAAACACCUCCCUCUGGAACUGGAGGGCCUAGCGUCUGCAGGUUUUAGUUUUUUCCUGUCAGUUAUGACCUAGACAACCAGGUGAGGGGAGUUCUUUACUAAUUAGUGACCUUAAUUCAUCAAUCAAGUACACGGGAGGAGCGAAAACAGCAGACCCUCCGUGGAAAGCGUUUGACACGUAAUUUAGACUAUUGCAAUGCCUCCUCAAUAACGGCAUCUACCUGUAGCCGACGGGGACGGUUGUUCUCUGUACAUAGAGGUUGUAUCUCAAUAAUCUAACGUACAGAAGGACCUCUUCUACAGUCUACAGUCCUUUCAAUUAUUUUCUUACAAGUUGCAUAGAUCGUUAAUAAAUGGACAAUAAUUGUA